GCCCGCCUAGCUCAAUCGGAUAGAGCGUGAGACUUUUACGGUCUAGGCAAAUGUCGGGCUGAGGAAUCUCAAGGCUGCGGGUUCGACCCCCGCGGUGGGCU